UGCUUCUCGAACCUGGAAUGAAUUGAAUUCUGAAAUGAAGAUUUAGAGCAGAAUCAAAGCUGAGUGGGAAUAGCUUCUCUCAGGAAAAGUCUGGAACACGAGAUGAUAUUCUCCACUCGAAUAAGAUGCUGGCAGGAACUGGAUAGAAAACUGGUGGAGAUACAGUGGAUGUAUAUGAAGAAGGAGCUAUCUGUCACUUGAUUGAUGACUAAAGCUCCAACUUCCUUCCUCACAUCACUGAUGUUACGCAUGUAGGACAUGAAGUCUGGAUGAAAGGGCCUUGGAACUCAUCCGGGAAGUUUAGUCCAUCACUUUACCAAGCUAAUUUGCGACAAUCAGUCUUAGGGUGGCCCUACAGAAACCACAGUUAUUUCCAGUCUGAGCUGUUUCCCAGUUGGGACAAACAGGAAUAAUUGCCCCUGAAGAGGCCUCUGAAGUGAUUGAUCCACCUGUGUUAGGCAGGCAUAUAGUCCAGGUCUUACUGCUUCUAGCUACUUGGCACCCCUCCAUUCUCUGCCUCCAUCUCCGACCUGCAGGUUAUAUUUUUCCUUCAAUGAGUUCCCUUGCUCUUUAGACUGCCCUUGGCACUCCUGUAAUAGGCAUUUUCACACAUGUAGAAAUAGGAAAGAUGAGAGAUCGCGCAGAACAAUUUGUCUUGGUCAAUGGAUUACCUGUAGAUCAUCAGGUUGACUGAAAUUUUGAGGUCUAUGUUGUGUCCCUUGCAAUAUAAUUUUAACACAGUAUCUUUCUGAUGAUAUGGUCAUUUAAGUGAGCACUAGCAAUGCACAUGUUGCUGUGUGUGCUGAAAUACUCCCAGACUAGGUCCAAGUUAUGGACGAAAGUGUAUUGUUCUCAACGACCUCUAGCCUGGUGCUACUCCAAGUGGUGAUCCAUAGACCAGUGUCCAUCUACAAAAUUUUUAUUCCAGAUCCACUUUGGAACAAGAACAGAAAUUAAGAGCAAGAGUUUAGGAACAUUAAGGCAAUUGUACAGUGAUUUUAUGUCUGUUGAAUCUAGUAAUUAAAAUGUGUAAAACAAAA
rnacentral:lncRNA from 1 species